rnacentral:rRNA from 1 species
AUUGAACGCUGGCGGCAGGCCUAACACAUGCAAGUCGAGCGGAUGAAGGGAGCUUGCUCCUGGAUUCAGCGGCGGACGGGUGAGUAAUGCCUAGGAAUCUGCCUGGUAGUGGGGGAUAACGUCCGGAAACGGGCGCUAAUACCGCAUACGUCCUGAGGGAGAAAGUGGGGGAUCUUCGGACCUCACGCUAUCAGAUGAGCCUAGGUCGGAUUAGCUAGUUGGUGGGGUAAAGGCCUACCAAGGCGACGAUCCGUAACUGGUCUGAGAGGAUGAUCAGUCACACUGGAACUGAGAAACGGUCCAGACUCCUAAGGGAGGCAGCAGUGGGGAAUAUUGGACAAUGGGCGAAAGCCUGAUCCAGCCAUGCCGCGUGUGUGAAGAAGGUCUUCGGAUUGUAAAGCACUUUAAGUUGGGAGGAAGGGCAGUAAGUUAAUACCUUGCUGUUUUGACGUUACCAACAGAAUAAGCACCGGCUAACUUCGUG